AUGACAUGUCCCAUUGGCAUCCUGUUAAACAAUGUUGUAAUGCGUGUCCUUGUACGUCUAUCUUUGAGACCCAGGGCCCGGUGGCUAGGCUGGCUCUCUCCUUUCCAAUCGGAUGCCUCUGCCGCAAACGUGCUCUGCCAGAUCAUCGGUCAGGCCAGGAAGCAUCCGAGCUUGAUGCCCCUCUUUGUAUUUACUGGAGCUGGAGGCACUGGAACAGCACUGUAUCUCUUGCAUCUGGCAUUGUUCAAUCCAGAUGUUAGUUAAGACAGAAAGAAUAACCCAGUGUCCUGGAACGAACUGAGUCCCGAUGAUCAAUACAGGUUCUACUCAGUCAAUGUGGAUUACAGCAAACUCAAGAAAGAAGCUCCAGAUUUCUGAAUGAAAUGUUUCACUAUAAAGCUGCUUUAGAAUGAAAGUCUUCCAGAAGCCAUCCACACAGUUUUCUACUUAAC